ensembl:lncRNA
AUGUAAUCCCUCCGUUGAGAUGCUUGACGAGGUCCCCAGUCUUAUGUAAUCCCUCCUUUGAGAUGCUUGACGAGGUCCCCAGUCUUAUGUAAUCCCUCCGUUGAGAUGCUUGACGAGGUCCCCAGUUUUAUGUAAUCCCUCCUUUGAGAUGCUUGACGAGGUCCCCAGUUUUAUGUAAUCCCUCCUUUGAGAUGCUUGACGAGGUCCCCAGUUUUAUGUAAUCCCUCCUUUGAGAUGCUUGACGAGGUCCCCAGUCUUAUGUAAUCCCUCCUUUGAGAUGCUUGACGAGGUCCCCAGUCUUAUGUAAUCCCUCCUUUGAGAUGCUUGACGAGGUCCCCAGUCUUAUGUAAUCCCUCCUUUGAGAUGCUUGACGAGGUCCCCAGUCUUAUGUAAUCCCUCCUUUGAGAUGCUUGACGAGGUCCCCAGUCUUAUGUAAUCCCUCCUUUGAGAUGCUUGACGAGGUCCCCAGUCUUAUGUAAUCCCUCCUUUG